UACGUAGGGGGCAAGCGUUAUCCGGAUCUACUGGGUGUAAAGGGAGCGUAGACGGCAGCGCAAGUCUGGAGUGAAAUGCCGGGGCUCAACCCCGGAACUGCUUUGGAAACUGUGCAGCUAGAGUGCGGGAGAGGUAAGCGGAAUUCCUAGUGUAGCGGUGAAAUGCGUAGAUAUUAGGAGGAACACCAGUGGCGAAGGCGGCUUACUGGACCGUAACUGACGUUGAGGCUCGAAAGCGUGGGGAGCAAACAGG
rnacentral:rRNA from 1 species